UACGGAGGGGGCUAGCGUUGUUCGGAAUUACUGGGCGUAAAGCGCACGUAGGCGGCUUUGUAAGUUAGAGGUGAAAGCCCAGGGCUUAACCCUGGAAUUGCCUUUAAGACUGCAUCGCUAGAAUUGUGGAGAGGUAAGUGGAAUUCCGAGUGUAGAGGUGAAAUUCGUAGAUAUUCGGAAGAACACCAGUGGCGAAGGCGACUUACUGGACAGCACGUUGUGACGCUGAGGUGCGAAAGCGUGGGGAGCAAACAGGAUUAGAUACCCGAUAGUACGACG
rnacentral:rRNA from 1 species